AUGGCCUGUGUCCCCCUGCUCCUCCUAGUGCUCUCCAACAGCUCAGGUUCCCUGGUCCAGGCAGCUCUGACUCAGCCACCCUCGGUGUCAGCGAAGCCAGGACAAACCAUCCAGAUCUCCUGCUCGGGGAGCAGCAAUGGCUACUAUGGCUGGUACCAGCAGAAGGUGCCUGGCACUGCCCCUCUCACUCUGAUCUACUACAAUACCAACAGACCCUCAGGCAUCCCUUCACGAUUCUCUGGCUCCAAGUCUGACUCCACAGCCACCUUAACCAUCACUGGGGUGCAGGCUGAGGACGAGGCUGUCUAUUACUGUGGUGGCUGGGACAGCAGUGGUAGCUAUGGUGUCUGCUGGGAGUCAGCAAACCCAGGACGCACUGUCCAGACCUCCUGCUCUGGGAGCAGCAGUGACUAUGGCUGGUACCAGCAGAAGGUGCCUGGCACUGCCCCUCUCACUGUGAUCUACUUGAAUGACAAGAGACCCUCAGGCAUCCCUUCACGAUUCUCUGGCUCCAGGUCUGGCACCACAGGCACCUUAACCAUCACUGGGGUGCAGGCUGAGGAUGAGGCUGUCUAUCACUGUGGUGGCUGGGACAGCAGCAGUGGUGGCUAUGGUGUCUGCUGGCCAUGGAGCUGA